ACUGCGCCCAAAAAUUCGCACGUUUAAAUGGAUUUCCUGCCUCUGUCCCCGGGGUUGGGCGACGCAUCGCGAGGCAUCGGAGAGUCGUUUUGUCACAGGUACAUCGAGCAUAACUCUACGCUGGAGCAUGAAGGUAUCUGACUGCCGAGAGUCGAUUUUUUCUCAAAAGGGGGAAAAACAAGGGUAAUACGAUUAUACGGAUUCCACGGAUCGUCCUAUUCGGUAGGGUUUUCUCUUGUUGCUUACAUAAAUACAAUCUGGACACGUUCGGGACUAAUGGUAGCUAAUUUUUUUCCGAUCGACUCGAAUGACAAAGUUCGUUAUUCAUAUAUCACAUUUCGUGUUUAAAUCCUUUAAACGCUAGCGUAAAUGAAAUUCCACACUGUGCAUGCUUUGUUUUGUCAUGUUCGACCGAUAAAUUUCGUUUUAUACGCAAUUAUAAUAUUUAUUCGAAGAAUAAAAUUGUCCGAGUAACGCACUUAGUAUUUUACAUCGAUACCGUAAUAUUAAAAGUAUUGUAAGUUUGUAAAAAAUAGUUUUAUAAUAGAAUAUAUCAAUUUUAUUUGUUUAAUCAAUUAUCAACUUUUAAAAUAAAAAAUAAAAUAAAAUAAAAAAUGCACACGAGAUAAAAUUUCAUCUGUGACAGCGUUAACGUGAUUUCCUUCGAUAUAACUUUUAAGGUUGAUUCUUCAAAACAAAAAUAAAUAUCUAGAUUUUACUAUCUCGUAUCGUUUUUCUAUAUUUACAUUAAAAUAUUCAUGUAAUGAAAAAUUAUCAUUUAGCCAACGGUAUUAUACAUAUAUGAUCUGCUCUGUUAAGAUUGAAGACACAAGAACGCAAGAGGUUUAAUCAUAAAAACAUCAAGCAAUGCGAUAUAGGUGUUCUCCUGAUGCAAUACUCGGGACACAAAUGGUUGUCGUACACCGUCGUUAUAAUGCUUCGAAAGGAUUAAGCGGCUGUAUGAGUUCGAAUAAUACCGUAUGAGCGUAAACUUGCGGAACAGUUGAAAACAAAAGCUCGAAGCCGGUUGGUGAUCACGUGUAGAUACCACUGAUCGUGAUAUAUGAAUAUAGACUACAAUUACUCUUUGGAACCUUGCAUCAGUGUCACUGGAUUAUUUAUAACUAUAAAGGAAUUCACGGUGUGGUUAAACUGGGCCGAUGAUGGUUAUUGGAAAACUGCAUAUCAGCAAGGUCACAUCAACGAGUAUCUAAGCACCAUAA